rnacentral:rRNA from 1 species
GACGAACGCUGGCGGCGUGCUUAACACAUGCAAGUGGAGCGACGAACCGGGGCUUGCCCCGGGGCAGAGCCGCGAACGGGUGAGUAACACGUGGGUAACCCACCCCGAUGACCGGGACAACCCGAGGAAACUCGGGCUAAUACCGGAUGUGCUCCUUGACCCCGAGGUCAAGGCGUAAAGAUAGCUUCGGCCUUCGCAUCGGGACGGGCCCGCGGCCCAUUAGCUUGUUGGUGGGGUAACGGCCUACCAAGGCGACGAUGGGAGCUGGUCUGAGAGGACGAUCAGCCACACUGGGACUGAGACACGGCCCAGACUCCUACGGGAGGCAGCAGUGGGGAAUCUUGCGCAAUGCGCGAAAGCGUGACGCAGCAACGCCGCGUGGGGAAGACGGCCUU